rnacentral:rRNA from 1 species
GACGGAGGAUGCAAGUGUUAUCCGGAAUCACUGGGCGUAAAGCGUCUGUAGGUGGUUUAAAAAGUCUAUUGUUAAAAAUUGAAGCUUAACUUCAAAGAUGCAAUGGAAACUUUUAAACUUGAGUAUGGUAGGGGUAGAGGGAAUUUCCAGUGGAGCGGUGAAAUGCGUAGAUAUUGGAAAGACCACCAAUGGCGAAGGCACUCUACUGGGCCAUUACUGACACUGAGAGACGAAAAGCUAGGGGGAGCAAAUGGG